rnacentral:tRNA from 1 species
GGGGUUGUAGGAUAACUUGGUUAGUCUUCUGGCUUUGGGAGCCAGCGAUCCCGGUUCAAAUCCGGGCAGCCCCA